rnacentral:lncRNA from 1 species
UUGGGUGUCCAAUGUUUGUUGUUAGAAUGUUAGGCUCUUUAAUUCUGCCAGCUGUGGUUCUUGAGAAGGUUUUGCUUUGGGAUGCGAUGGUGUUCUGAUAUAGUCUAUUUCUGAGUGUUAGACCAAUGGGACCCUGUGGUGUUCUGUUUCUAUUAUAGUAGGAGCUUGCGUCUUAUAUAUUUAUUGCUGGAUUGGUGUUGUGUUUUGGUGGUGCUUCGGAGAUUUGCGGGG